rnacentral:lncRNA from 1 species
CUGUCUGAAGUUGAACCAAAACUAAAGUUAUACUAGUAUUAUUAAGAAGUCAACAUUAGAAAAACCAAACAUUAGCAUGAAUCAGAUCAUAAAUAAUAGAUGACCAAAACCAUAAGAUUUAAACUCUAACCAAGUGGGCAAAAUUAAAAAAAGAAUGUUCCUUGAACCACACAUCUACGCAAACAUUACAAAUUACAAUACAAUAUUAGUGAAAUUCAUCAAAUUCACUUUCUCCAGCAGCCAUGUAGCACCACAUCUAUGACUUUGAUCGAACCUGGAUUUCUUGCUGUUACAUCAGGACGUUGUAACAGUUAAAGAUUGUCUGAUCUUGAUCAAUGGUUCAGAUCAUUAAAUUGUGUUAUAAUAUGGAUCGUCUGAUUUGAUAUCAAUGGCCGUGAUUAAUUACAGCAUGAAACUUUGUGUUUUUGUACAACACCAAAUCCAGAUCCGACUUUGAUCCUACCAUAUACUCUUUACCUUCAC